AGUGGAGUUGCUGGAUCAUAUGGUAACUCUAUGUUUAACUUUUUAAGGAAUUGCCAAACUGUUUUCUAAAUUGACUGCAUCAUUUUACAUUUCCACAAGAAAU
rnacentral:pre_miRNA from 1 species